CUUUAUUUUUGAUUACUGAAUUCCUUUCAUAUAUUUUUAAUAAGCUUUUUUUUUAGAUUUGCUUUUCUGCAUUGCUAGAAGUAGGUCUCUUGCUCGUUUUUUUUAACUAAUAAUUCAUUUUGAUUUCUUCCUCCUAGCAUUUUGUCCCAACUCGGACAGAAACUGCUACUCAGCUUAUUGUUUUUAUGAGUUUUUCCACAGUUAAUCAAUUAAUAAUGAAUAAUUAAUACAAACAGCUUCCAAACAGCAUGUGUAUUUUAUAAGCAUGUGACGAGUACGAAUAUAUUAUAAGCCCGUAGAGCAUGGUAUCCCUUAAUAGCUGCUCGCCUAUCGAUAUGGUUGUUCGAACCCCCAUUUAUUUAUUAACUUCAUAAUUAAAUCAUGUUUCGUUUUCUUCUAGCAUCACACACAAAAUUGUUUUGCUAUCAGUUUUAUUGUCGGGGCUCGUCUUGAUUUCUGUUGGAUCUACAUUUCAAUCGAACAAAAUUGCGUCAUAUAUUGUGCUAUGCAAGAAAAACCCACACAACUGUCGCAGUGAUAACAAAAUGAUCAAAAUCUGCAAACUCAGAGAAUUUGUAAUACACGUUUCCUAAAAAAAACGAAUAGACCCAAGCCUACUUGAGUCAUGAUGAUGUGUUUGAAUUGCGGGUAUUUUGUCUGCGCGUAAAACGUAUGGUAUCAAUUCCCUUUAUCUUGAUUAUUUCCAUGCAAUAAUACUCACUUAGCUCAUCAAAUGUCGGAAUAUAGCCAAUUCAAAAUAUAACAAUUAUGUUCUGUUUCAUUUCAAAAUUGAUAAACUCACCAGCAACACCAACGCAUUCUCCCAACUUCCAGCAACUCUACAUGCAAAAUUAAUUAUUUAAUUUUUGUUAGGUGCUCUCUGUCACUAUUCUCUUUCACUUGUUUGGUGACGAAAGAAAAUAAUUGAAAUAAUAAAUUUGCCAUAGCAGUAAAAACAGCAUACUUUUAUUCAUCAAAACUUCCUUUUUUUUAUACGACACACAUCUUGAUGAAAGAUUAGCUUGAGGAUAAGAAAUUUCAAUUUCUCAAAGGUUCCACUCUCAUGGUGACUGCAAUCAAAACUAGCUAAGAAAACAAAAAGCAUCCGAAGCAUAAAAUCAAAACUGGCUAACACCAAAAAGCAUCCGAAGCACGAAUGUUAGAUCACAACAACCUACCUUUCAUGUAGCUGAUCAACACCAUACCUCUUACCGCAAAUUCCCGACGCGAUUUGAGCAGGCAUUGCAUUUUAUCUCAUCUUUCGAUCAUCUGAGCAAGAUAUAGAUCGAAUAAACUGAUAUUAUCUAGAGCUCUUUGAUCAUCUUUAUGAUGAAAAUCUAUGGCUCUUUUGAUGCUCGAUUAAAUCUUUUCGACUCAGCAAUCCGCGUUGUUUAUACAGUGACAGCGUUUGCAAGAAGUACAAAACAAUUCGCAGACUCAACGAAAGUAAGUGCACUAACACAUUUGGAAGGGAACCAAUUCUUAAUUUAUUCAACUUUUAGGUUUUGCAGAUUUUCACUGAUAUGGAUUGGAGGUUCUUUCACUGCAUAGUGCAUAUUGAAUUUUCGCAUAACGAACCAAAAUCAAGCAGGACGAUGGUUACCGUAAAAUUGCAAACGACAAUAUGAAUUUCAUGGCUGACAAGCUCAUAUUAGCUGGAAUCUGCUGUAAGCUGCUUUUAAUCAACAUAAUUUUACAUAGAAGGUUUCGCGUAGCACUACUGAUUAUGAAUCAGUUUUAUGAAAAAUGAAAUAAUAAAGAGUACUGUUGGAUUUGCUAAAAUAAAA